UGAAAAGCCUCUCUCGCUCCAAAUACUUUUGACAGACAGACAAUCCGACCAGUCAGCUGACAGUCAGGACCAACAGGCCCUGCCUCUCUCUCCAUGCCUUGUUAAGCCCCUCCAUCCCCAAACCAACUCCGUGUCUGACUGCGGCUCCGGCGCCGGGGCCCAUACAGGUUCACCCAGAGACUACAGCAUGACUGGAGGCCCCUGCUUUGUCUUUGGGAAACCCCUCACCAACACUAGGUCCCUCCCUGCCCUGUGCGUGGACAACUUGGAGGAAAACCACUUGGGAGACUUGGCUCCACCCCCCUCAAUCUAAGGAGGCGGAGCUUCCUCCCCAAAGAACCAUAACGGCCCCUAUUUGCAUCCCAGUAAAGGCCCCGCCCCCACCCAGGCCACCCUCUCAAACCUCUUCACCUGUUGGCACCGAUGACAGGGGUCAUCUGACGAUGUCGGAGGCGCCUCAUUCCACCAGAAACCCACAUUGCAAGCCCCCCCCAGCUUGCCCCAGGGUAGCCCCACUCCCAUCAUCCUACCCAGUCAGGAAUUGGUCCUGCUUAUACUUGGACCCUCACGAUGUCGUCGAUUCUCCCGUUGACCCCCCCAAUCAGCUCGCCUCUUUACUCAACUCUCAACUCCAAUUCCAAUGUUCUCCCUCUGUCAGCCGUGAGCUGGCCCGCUCCGCCCUCCUCCCCGCCCCCCCAGUCAGGACCACAUAGCGGCCCUGCCUGUGGAGCGCUGGGCGGAAAACGUCAAUAGAUACUACGGCUCCCAGAAUGCAACGGGAGGAGGGGGAGAGGAUGUGCCCUGUGAGGAGCUCUCGGAGCUGGACUCUCUGUACCAGGCCAGUCUGCUGGCUCCCAGCAUGCACCGGGGCAGCCGUGGAGUCAGUCCUCAACCGGCCAACAAUAAACCAGGUGUGAGGAGAAUGCUGUCGGGGUCUGGACGCUCCAAGACCCCAACGGCUGAGAUUGAGAGAUGCGCCUACAGAACACCUGUUACAACUCAUAAGUUGGCUCAAGGUGAAGACGAGAGCUACAGUGCGGCAAACCUGCGACGCAUUGCACGCAGCCUGAGUGGAAGUGCCAUGGGGUCACGACCCCAAAGUCCCAGCUCCUCCCACAGCUGUGAGCCCCCUAUGUCCAGGCCCCCCCUCAAACACUCUACCUCUUCCUCCUCCCUCCUCCGUCGCCCAAGCGCCUCCUCCCUGCCCGUCCCCUCCUCUUCCUCAACCUCCUUCCCUGCAGACCACUCCUCCCACCUUCUCCAACACCACCAACCCCGAAACCACGGCCCCCCAGCUCCUGCACAUCCUCCACAGCACCCUCCCUUGCAGACAUCACGGCCCCCCAACCUGGGCCCCUCAUCCUGGGGACACUCAGAAGCUGGACCGAGUCUCCAGCAGCCGUUUCUGGUUGUGUCUGACAGGCGUCCGUCUCUCUCUGGUCAAAGCCUCCACAAUGUCGCGUUGAGUUACGGCACUCUGCCCCGUGCUCCUCGCCGAGCGCCUCCUCCUCCCUCCUCCUCCUCCACCGCCACUCUCCCCAGGCCCAGAGCCGUCUCCGGUCCCGCCCCCCCGCUGCCAAGUCCACAUAGUCUCUACGCCACCCUUUCCCGCCCUCGGCGCUCUGCCAACGCUAACGGUCACUACCGGCAACCGUCGCUGCCCAUUAAUCUCAACGGCUCCGCCCAUUACGCCCCGGCCCACCCCAGGGGGGCGGGGGAGGCCCCCGCCCAGCCGCUCCGCCUCGACGUGCCCCCUGAGACCGACUGGCGUCGAGAAGCCGACUACAGAACUCUCAGCUCCUCUUGGGACCCCCGCGCCCUCAGCCGCCCCCACCAGCCCAUCCAGCACCACCAGCACCACCAGCCCCUCCAGCGGACCAACUCCCACCAGCCCCCCCGGCCCCGCAGGGACCCCCAGCUCUGCUCGCUGUGCCAGCAGCUCCCUGCUGAGCCGCCACGUCCCUACUGCCGCUCCUGCGGAGCGUAUGUGGCUCGGUUCCGCCCGGUCAGCUGA
ensembl:lncRNA